AGAUAUUAGUGCGGUUCAAUC
rnacentral:miRNA from 2 species